rnacentral:rRNA from 1 species
CCCUUAGAGUUUGAUCCUGGCUCAGAACGAACGUUGGCGGCGUGGAUUAGGCAUGCAAGUCGAACGAAUCCCACUCGUGUAGCAAUACACGGGUGGGGGAAGUGGCGAAAGGGGCAGUAAGGCGUGGGUAACCUACCCCGGGGACGCGGAUAGCCGUUCUAACGGACGGGUAAACCGUGGCGAUUCGACGAGGAGGCAUCUCCUUGUCGGGAAACAAAUUUUGCCUCGGGAGGGGCUCACGUGAUAUUAGCUAGUUGGUGAGGUAACGGCUCACCAAGGCGAAGAUGUCUAGCGGGUGUGAGAGCACGACCCGCGCCACUGGCACUGAGACACUGGCCAGACACCUACGGGUGGCUGCAGUCGAGGAUCUUUGGCAAUGGGCGCAAGCCUGACCAAGCGACGCCGCGUGUGCGAUGAAGGCCUUCGGGUUGUAAAGCACUGUCGAGGGGGAUAAAGGCGCAAGCUUGAUUGAUCCCUGGAGGAAGCACGGGCUAAGUUCGUGCCAGCAGCCGCGGUAAGACGAACCGUGCGAACGUUGUUCGGAAUCACUGGGCUUAAAGGGCGCGUAGGCGGCAGCGUUAGUCCGGGGUGAAAGCCCCCAGCUUAACUGGGGAAGGGCCUUGGAUACUGCGUUGCUCGAGGGAGGUAGGGGUCGAGGGAACUUCUGGUGGAGCGGUGAAAUGCGUUGAUAUC